GUUGGAAGCUUAUAAAGAGGCUGUUGCUUAAUUUGUCAGGUCCGAAAGGAAGCAGCAAGGGUAAUAAGUGCUUGUAUAAGCUUCCUUUUUU
rnacentral:SRP_RNA from 1 species